UAAUCGUAAACUAAAAGUGCUAAGUGCUGGAGGUUAGUGGAUAAGCUGUAAACACAGAUUAAAUCAUUCUUUUACAGAGAAGAAUACUAUUCCUUAUAAUCAAGUAAGUACUCGUUUGUUUAAUUUUGUAUUUAUAUCUUUAAUUUAAAAUGAUUAUUUAUUUAGGAAAAUCAUUUAAAAUAUUCAAAAUCCUUUUUAUAUAAUAUGAUAGAAACGUUAAAAUUAUUCAAAAAGUAUUCACCAUUAUCAUUUUUAACAUUUAGACAAACUGUCGUCUUGUCACUAUAUUAGAGAACAGAUUUGCAUGGGAGAAUUGAAAAGGAAUGAGUCUCAUUUAGAAAUCAGUGCGUUAAUUUGUUUGAAGCAAAUGAAGUCCUUUUAUCCUCUUUUUGAAAAUUCCUUUUUGAUCUCAUUUCAUUGAUAAAACAUAAAAAAAUAUUAGCUAUUUAUUAUUUACUCAUUAUCAAUACAAGACCCCAAAACAUUGUGGAUCAAAUAAAUAUACGUAAUCGGUCUUCCAACUGGUACCAUCCCUAGUUUCACUUCUCAGUUGACAUUCGUUUCAAUCAAUUAUAAUAAUUUAUCAGCCUUGUUUUUGGCUAUUUUUACAAAAUUGAACGGAACAAGCUGAUAAUAAGACAUUAUUAUAUCCGCUUUAGUUAAUAUUUGAAACUAAAUUGAUUGAUUGUUGGUUGCUUAACGUCCAGUGGCAAAUAUUUCAUGCAUAUUCAGGACGAGAACAAGUUUACAAUAAAUACAAUAGGUAGGUCUUGUCACAAUAGAGGCCAUCUGGGAUGUUGGUCGGGGAAAUUUGGACUGCCACUGGAAAAUGAGGGUUUAUAGGAUAGGGACAGAAAUGCCUACGGACCCCUCAAAGAUUUGUUGCAAGGGUUUUUAACGUGCAAAGAGCGUGGCACUCUCUUUACACGAGACAUCGGAUUUAUUUGAAACAAAACAAACAAAUCAUACUUUUAUAGAAAAAUAAAGGAUAUGGGUAUUCACUAUUGUCACAAAAUAAGUACAUGCAAAGCAACAAACAAGGGCUUGGUUGCUUUCAUUGUUAAUAAUUAAUCAGUUAUUAAAAAGUGAAUGUCUAAUAAUGUACUAAUUCCUUUGUAAUUGCAGACACACCAUCAUGAAGAUCUGUUAUAUGUGUUAUUGUCUUUGCGUACUGUUGUAAGUAUUUAAAUCUAUAUUACAUAAUUUAUACACAAACAUAUGUAUAUAUAUAUAUAUACAUGUUACUUGGACCAGACGCGUAUGGUCGUGACACUCAUAUGGUCCGACCGCACUCGUAUGGUCGGACCACAUGAGUAUAUACUCUUUUGGUUAUGAACGGGUCAGACCAAAUGAGUAUUUGGACCACAAAGGUAUUUUUUAGCAGUAGAAACGUUUCAAUUAUACAAUUAACUUUAUCUCUAAAAAAACAAUGAUAAUUACAUGAAAAUGUAUAAAUUUUAUAAUUCAAAUGUUACAUUAACAUUAGAAAUUGAUUCCAUAGUUAGUUAUCAUCACUUAUUAUAUUAUUGCAUGUAUGCCAUGGGUAACAUCUAUUUCCACACGGUACCAUAGCUUUUCUGUAUUUGCAGGUCUUGCUUGUAAACGAUCCCUUUCCACGUCUACAUAUUGCCAUUCACUCUUAAUACCAUACGGUGCAUGUAGCGGCCAAAUUUAUAAAACUUGUUUACGAUAGUUUUGACUUAUGAUUUAGAUCAAAUACGGUUUAUAAAACUGCUUAAAAUUUAGUUCAUCUUUUUAUUAUUAUGAUAUAAUGAAAUUACCUUUUAUAGCGUCUUUUAAUUACGUGACAACUAUAGAAGAAUCAUACCUUAUAAAGAGUUAAGUAUACGCGUAUGGUCCAAAUACUCAUAUGGUCCGGAACAUACACGCACGCCAUCUACUUAAAAUUUAACGACCAUUUUUACGAACGAAUCACCAAUGCAGAGGGUAUUGUUCCCUCAAUUCGACAUUUUAAUUUUAUUUAAAACAAACCAUGUUUCCAAUUUGUUUUAGCCUGUUUUGCACUAUUCGUAAUCUGUAAACUUGUUUUAAACAUAUAUAUAUAUAUAUCAUUACAUGAAGUAUCAUUCUUUUCUUUUAUUUCAAUUUUGCUGAUUUGAACUAGAGUAAAAUUUAAUAUUUUUUCGCAUUGAAAAAAAUUGUUACACAUUUUAAUACCAUGUACUAUUAUUUUGCUGAUUUAACGUAUAUCAACAUUUCAUUAAAAGUCCAUGUCAUUUUCUCUUGAACUUUUGGAUGGGACGGUUCGGUUCUUCGUCGAUGAAAUAUAAGUGAUUGCCGUGCUAACAAUUAUUGUCCUUACACUAUUUCUUUUUAAAUAUAGAUAUUUAGUUAAAAGUAAGUACACAUAGGACAUAUGCAAAUACACCAUCUAGGGUGACUGGACUUUAAUGACUCGGCAUGAGUUUAUUUGUUUUAUUGUAAAGGUUGUUUAGAAAUUUUGAAACAAUAAACGGAAGAAUAGCGUGGCAGAACAAGCAGUCUUUCGUUGUUUAAUAUUUUAUAAUGAAAUGCUCUGUAUAAAGUCUGUAUUUUCUGGAAAUAUCUUAGCUUGAUUUGCCACAAUACUUACAAUGCAGCACUAAAUACUAGGACGAUAAAUGCCGUUGUCUUUGGUAUACGCGCGUAAUCUCUUUUAUUGAUUAACUUUGCUAUUUUAAUGUCAUUGCACUUUGACAAUUUUGUGCUUCAAGAAUAUUAAAACAGAUCAUACACCUUACAACUGUUUGAACUCAAACGGUUUCUCGAAGACUAAAGUAUAGUUGUUAAAUAGAUAGAAAAGUUUAUUUCAAACUAUGUAUACCGCAUGUAAAAUCUAUUUGUACUUUGUAUAUUGUAGCUUGUGCUACAGUGAUGCCGUUAUGAUGGACGACGGACAGCUGGCGUUUCUGCGACGAUCAACGUUUGAAGAUGGCGAAAUUGACAAAGUUACAAUUCCUGUAAAGAGAUGGGGACGCUCAUACGGCUAUCUAUAUAAACUCCUUAGGAAGAAUGGAUUCCAAGUUAAAAACAAGUUUUCUCUUUAAGUUAGUUGAAGGCUAUGCGCCUUCAUUUGCUUAAAUCAGAUUAUUAUAAGAUCACAAAAUUACGAUAUAGAAAAUGUCUAGUUCUUGUGCUGUUUAUUUCAUCUCUCCAUUUUUCACAACCAUACCGUACUCGUUUAAUAAAUAGAGGAUGAUUAAUUUUGUUUAAUUUGAAGACAUUUUAUUAAUGCAAACAUUAUGGCUUCCUAAACGCCUACACGAAAUAGGCCACAUGUCAUGCUACAGUUGUGUCAUAAAUUGGUUGGAGCUUCUAGAUCUCAAUCAAAAUACAGUUCACUGUAUCAGUGUAAAAUAUGUGUUUAAUUAUUGUCAUUGAAAAUAUAGAUGUAGGACUCCGAGGUGCGAUCGUCUGCACAAAAGGAGAUGAUCUUUUCGCUAAUGUGCGAUGGUCGAUAUGACGCGUGAGGACUAAUUUAGAAUCUACU
rnacentral:lncRNA from 1 species